rnacentral:lncRNA from 1 species
GAAAAAGCAGGUUCAACAAAAGGAUAUAUUUUGAAAUAAAUGAAUAACUAACUGCAAUGAUUCUGGAAAAUGUGUUAAUUCAUGAUCAACAAAGGAAAAAUUUGUAAGGAAGUGGAUUAUAUAUAGUGUGUGAUAUUGUGUCCUAAUUAUGAUCACUGAGGAGAGGAUGUUUCACAAAACUUUUACUUCAUAAAUGAGUCAC